AUUGAACGCUGGCGGCAUGCUUUACACAUGCAAGUCGAACGGUAACAGGUUAAGCUGACGAGUGGCGAACGGGUGAGUAAUGCAUCGGAACGUGCCCGAUCGUGGGGGAUAACGCAGCGAAAGCUGCGCUAAUACCGCAUACGAUCUGAGGAUGAAAGCGGGGGACCGUAAGGCCUCGCGCGAUCGGAGCGGCCGAUGUCAGAUUAGGUAGUUGGUGGGGUAAAGGCUCACCAAGCCGACUAUCUGUAGCUGGUCUGAGAGGACGACCAGCCACACUGGGACUGAAACACGGCCCAGACUCCUACGGGAGGCAGCAGUGGGGAAUUUUGGACAAUGGGCGCAAGCCUGAUCCAGCAAUGCCGCGUGAAGGAAGAAGGCCUUCGGGUUGUAAACUGCUUUUGUACGGAGCGAAAAGGCUCUCUCUAAUACAGGGGGUUCAUGACGGUACCGUAAGAAUAAGCACCGGCUAACUACGUGCCAGCAGCCGCCGUAA
rnacentral:rRNA from 1 species